GCGCUUUCCCCGGGCAGGGGCAGAGCCGGUCUCACCCCCCGCCUCUCCCCGGCCCCCGCCGCCCUAUGGCGAGAGGGAGCCCCCUCCCAACCCGGGCUCGAGCGGCGGCGGCCUCAGGCCGGGGGUCAUCAUGGAACUAAUUCGCUGACCGACCCAGCGGCCGCAGCCGUGCGUCCCGCUCGAGCGCCAGCGCCCGCGCCCGCGCCCCCCGAUCCGCUUCCCCUUUCUCCCUCCUCAGUUGGCCGAGUCGUCCCGCGCGCACCGCCUCCGCGCGCCUAUGAGAAUGAGGUGGUAACGGGCCCCCGGAUGACCCCGCGUCACCACUGUGAGGCCUACAGCUCUGCCGGGGAGGAGGAGGAGGAGGAAGAGGAGGAGAAGGUAGCUACAGCAAGCUGGGUAGCAGGCAGAUCCAAAGGAUAUCAUGAAGUUUCCAGGGCCUUUGGAAAACCAGAGAUUGUCUUUCCUGUUGGAAAAGGCAAUCACUAGGGAAGCACAGAUGUGGAAAGUGAAUGUGCGGAAAAUGCCUUCAAAUCAGAAUGUUUCUCCAUCCCAGAGAGAUGAAGUAAUUCAAUGGCUGGCCAAACUCAAGUACCAAUUCAACCUUUACCCAGAAACAUUUGCUCUGGCUAGCAGUCUUUUGGAUAGGUUUUUAGCUACCGUAAAGGCUCAUCCAAAAUACUUGAGUUGUAUUGCAAUCAGCUGUUUUUUCCUAGCUGCCAAGACUGUUGAGGAAGAUGAGAGAAUUCCAGUACUAAAGUUCCAUGCCAUUGCAGUGUCAACUAGGCCUCAGUUACUUUUCAGUUUGCCCAAAUUGAGCCCAUCUCAACAUUUGGCAGUCCUUACCAAGCAACUACUUCACUGUAUGGCCUGCAACCAACUUCUGCAAUUCAGAGGAUCCAUGCUUGCUCUGGCCAUGGUUAGUCUGGAAAUGGAGAAACUCAUUCCUGAUUGGCUUUCUCUUACAAUUGAACUGCUUCAGAAAGCACAGAUGGAUAGCUCCCAGUUGAUCCAUUGUCGGGAGCUUGUGGCACAUCACCUUUCUACUCUGCAGUCUUCCCUGCCUCUGAAUUCCGUUUAUGUCUACCGUCCCCUCAAGCACACCCUGGUGACCUGUGACAAAGGAGUGUUCAGAUUACAUCCCUCCUCUGUCCCAGGCCCAGACUUCUCCAAGGACAACAGCAAGCCAGAAGUGCCAGUCAGAGGUACAGCAGCCUUUUACCAUCAUCUCCCAGCUGCCAGUGGGUGCAAGCAGACCUCUACUAAACGCAAAGUAGAGGAAAUGGAAGUGGAUGACUUCUAUGAUGGAAUCAAACGGCUCUAUAAUGAAGAUAAUGUCUCAGAAAAUGUGGGUUCUGUGUGUGGCACUGAUUUAUCAAGACAAGAGGGACAUGCUUCCCCUUGUCCACCUUUGCAGCCUGUUUCUGUCAUGUAGUUUCAACAAGUGCUACCUUUGAGUGUAAACUAAGGUAGACUACUUUGGGAAUGAGAACAUGCAAAAUCAGGAAAGGCUGUAGAAGGAAAUAUACCUUAACAGGCUGAUUUGGAGUGAGCCAGAAAAAAAAAAUAAAACUCUCAUUAUUUGUGUGGCUAAUUAUAAUUCAGCGUUAUUUAAGCACAUAAAGACC
rnacentral:lncRNA from 1 species